UGCGUAGGUGGUUGUUUAAGUCUGUCGUGAAAGCCCUGGGCUCAACCUGGGAAUUGCGAUGGAUACUGGGCGACUAGAGUGUGGUAGAGGAUAGUGGAAUUUCCGGUGUAGCAGUGAAAUGCGUAGAGAUCGGAAGGAACAUCUGUGGCGAAGGCGACUAUCUGGGCCAACACUGACACUGAGGCACGAAAGCGUGGGGAGCAAACA
rnacentral:rRNA from 1 species